rnacentral:rRNA from 1 species
CACGUAGGGUGCGAGCGUUGUCCGGAAUUAUUGGGCGUAAAGAGCUCGUAGGCGGUGUGUCGCGUCGGCCGUGAAAACCUGUGGCUUAACUGUGGGCUUGCGGUCGAUACGGGCAUCACUGGAGUUCGGCAGGGGAGACUGGAAUUCCUGGUGUAGCGGUGAAAUGCGUAGAUAUCUGGAGGAACACCGGUGGCGAAGGCGGCAUCCUGGACCGGUAUUGACGCUGAUGCGCGAAAGCCAGGGGAGCAAACGGG